GCCACCUUUCAUCUAUCAAAUAAUACCAACUGGAACAUGGAACAUGGAUUUCAGUCAACCUUUAAUCAGCCUAAAACACAUAUCUGUUUCACCAACAAAUUUAAGAGACUCAAAAUGGCUUCCACAGAAACUUGGACCAUCCAGGGGGCGUGUCCAGCUGUUAUUAUAGCUGCAGUACAGUCUAUGUAUUUUGUGUGUGUAAUAUGUAAUAUAAAAAGCUAACAUAUUCUCAG